rnacentral:tRNA from 1 species
GACGGCGUAUCUCAGCCCGGUAGAGAGGACGGCUCAUACCCGUUAUGUCAGUGGUUCAAAUCCACUCGCCGUCACCA